rnacentral:lncRNA from 1 species
GGAUCUCGACUUCCAGGACAAGCGCUCCGUAGUUCCUGCGCUCCAGGACAAGCGCUUCGUGGUUCCUGCGCUCCAGGUUCACUACCUAGUGAAACUCGACUUCCAGGACAAGCGCUCCGUAGUUUCUGCGUCCAGGUUCACUACCUGGUGAAACUCGACUUCCAGGACAAGCGCUCCAUAGUUUUUGCGCUCAAAGUCCACUACGUAGUGAAAAUUUACUUCCAGGACAAGCGCUCCGUAGUUCUGGCAGUCCAGG